UGGGGAAUAUUGGACAAUGGGCGAAAGCCUGAUCCAGCCAUGCCGCGUGAGUGACGAAGGCCUUAGGGUUGUAAAACUCUUUCGUCGGGGACGAUAAUGACGGUACCCGAAGAAGAAGCUCCGGCUAACUUCGUGCCAGCAGCCGCGGUAAUACGAAGGGAGCUAGCGUUGUUCGGAAUCACUGGGCGUAAAGCGCACGUAGGUGGGCAGUUAAGUCAGGGGUGAAAGCCCGAGGCUCAACCUCGGAAUUGCCUCUGAUACUGGCUGUCUAGAGUUCGAGAGAGGUGAGUGGAAUUCCUAGUGUAGAGGUGAAAUUCGUAGAUAUUAGGAAGAACACCGGUGGCGAAGGCGGCUCACUGGCUCGAUACUGACACUGAGGUGCGAAAGCGUGGGGAGCAAACAGGAUUAGAUACCCACGUAGUCCCUGAGCGGGCUGGCAAGGCGCAU
rnacentral:rRNA from 1 species